UCAUAUUGCCUGCAGAGCUGGGAGCCCUC
rnacentral:piRNA from 1 species